AUACUGUAUAAUCCCCGCGGGGGAAAGAUUUAUCGCUAUUAGAUGAGCCUACGUUAGAUUAGCUAGUUGGUAAGGUAAUGGCUUACCAAGGCUAUGAUCUAUAGCUGGUCUGAGAGGACGAUCAGCCACACUGGAACUGAGAUACGGUCCAGACUCCUACGGGAGGCAGCAGUGGGGAAUAUUGGACAAUGGGCGAAAGCCUGAUCCAGCUAUGCCGCGUGAGUGAAGAAGGCCUUCGGGUUGUAAAACUCUUUCAAUAGGGAAGAUAAUGACGGUACCUAUAGAAGAAGUCCCGGCAAACUCUGUGCCAGCAGCCGCGGUAAUACGGAGGGGGCAAGCGUUGUUCGGAAUUAUUGGGCGUAAAGGGCACGUAGGUGGACUAGUAAGUUAAAAGUGAAAUACCAAAGCUUAACUUUGGAGCGGCUUUUAAUACUGCUAGACUAGAGGUCGAAAGAGGAUAGCGGAAUUCCUAGUGUAGAGGUGAAAUUCGUAGAUAUUAGGAGGAACACCAGUUGCGAAGGCGGCUAUCUGGUUCGAUACUGACACUGAGGUGCGAAAGCGUGGGGAGCAAACAGGAUUAGAUACCCUGGUAGUCCACGCUGUAAACGAUGAGUGCUAAAUGUGAGGAUUUUAUCUUUGUAUUGUAGCUAACGCGUUAAGCACUCCGCCUGGGGACUACGGUCGCAAGACUAAAACUCAAAGGAAUUGACGGGGACCCGCACAAGCGGUGGAGCAUGUGGUUUAAUUCGAUGCUACGCGAAAAACCUUACCACUUUUUGACAUGAAGGUCGUAUCCCUCCUAACAGGGGGAGUCAGUUCGGCUGGACCUUACACAGGUGCUGCAUGGGUUGUCGUCAGCUCGUGUCGUGAGAUGUUGGGUUAAGUCCCGCAACGAGCGCAACCCUCAUUCUUAGUUACCAACAGGUAAUGCUGGGCACUCUAAGGAAACUGCCAGUGAUAAACUGGAGGAAGGUGGGGAUGAUGUCAAAUCAGCACGGCCCUUAUAAGGUGGGCUACACACGUGCUACAAUGGCAACUACAAUAGGUUGCGAGACCGCAAGGUUUAGCUAAUCCAUAAAAGUUGUCUCAGUUCGGAUUGUUCUCUGCAACUCGAGAGCAUGAAGUCGGAAUCGCUAGUAAUCGUGGAUCAUCACGCCACGGUGAAUACGUUCUCGGGUCUUGUACACACUGCCCGUCACGCCAUGGGAAUUGGCUUAACUCGAAGCUGGUGUGCUAACCGCAAGGAAGCA
rnacentral:rRNA from 1 species